CAGUCGCCGCGGUAAUACGAAGGGGGCUAGCGUUACUCGGAAUUACUGGGCGUAAAGGGCGCGUAGGCGGCACGAUUAGUCAGGCGUGAAAUUCCUGGGCUCAACCUGGGGACUGCGCUUGAUACGGUCGAGCUAGAGGAUGGAAGAGGGUUGUGGAAUUCCCAGUGUAGAGGUGAAAUUCGUAGAUAUUGGGAAGAACACCGGUGGCGAAGGCGGCAACCUGGUCCAUUACUGACGCUAAGGCGCGACAGCGUGGGGAGCAAACAGGAUUAGAGACCCCCGUAGUCCCUGUCUCUUAUAC
rnacentral:rRNA from 1 species